rnacentral:rRNA from 1 species
UAAUACUUGGGCAAUCUGCCCUUGAGUGGGAAACAACCGGCCGAAAGGCUGGCUAAUGUCCCAUAAGACCACGGGAUGGCAUCAUCCAGAGGUCAAAGCUCCGCAAGGGGCGCUUGAGGAGGAGCCCGAGUCCUAUCAGCUAGUUGGUGAGGUAACGGCUCACCAAGGCUACGACGGGUAACCGGCCUGAAAGGGCGAACGGUCACACUGACACUGAGACACGGGUCAG